UCUGCAAACGCGGCCGCGGGGCGCUGGGCGGCAAAGAGAAACUGAAACUCGAAGCGGGCGGCUUGGCGGGAAGACGGGAGGCCCCGGGGCGCGGGGGGGCCGGCUGAGCACUCCCCAACCCCGCCCCGAGGGUCCCCAGGCGCAGGAGGGCAUUCAGCAGAGGGGCGCCCGGAGGCCCGGAGGCCCGGAGGCCCGGAGGAGUCAGCGCAGGGGCUGCAGGAAAGCACACUGACAGCUCGGCGUGCACCCGGAGCACCUGUCCUCUGUCCCAGCCGCCCCCCAGGACGGUCUCCUGGACCCAGGUGACAGUCAGCCCAAAGCUGCCAUGUGCUUCUCUGUCUCCCAGGACACGGGAAGUUGGAGACGCACGUAGCGGACAGUCCCGCACAGAACGCAAGGAGAUCACAUUGUCCACUCGGUGUCUCGGACGCGGAAGUAAAUCGAAACAUCCCAAAAGCAGAGACAGUCUACCUGCUCAUCACUAACCCGGCUUCAGGAACGUGCCGACUUUACCUGUCUCCCCACUGAACCUUGGCUCUACCUGGAAGAAAUAAAAUGGUAGGGUAAGUCCCAAGGAGAGGUCUUUGCUGAAGGAACAGGCAUGGCGCCCACAAUCUAUUUGGCUUCCUAAAUAAUGGACACAAAAGUGACACUGAUGAGGAUGUUCUGGACACUUCCACCCCACUGUGACCCGCCAGGACUGAGGAGGGCUAUGCCAGAGGCAGGUGCCCUCAGGAACCCUGGUGUCUCGGAUCCCUGGGGCCUCACCUGUGUCUCCUGCACCUAUGUCCCUGUCACCCAGGACUCUUCUGUGCCCUUGUGGGCUGACAGCCCAGAGACGCCUCCUCCUCUGCCUGGAAAAUGCACCCAAGACGGACAACACAUCAGGUUCCACGGAGCAGACAGACUCCUCUCCUUCUGCCCUCAGUCCGUGGAGCCCAGAAGUUUAGUGAAUUCCAAUGUGUCCUGUGUCUUUAACCAGGACACCCCAGGGACCUCCUUGGGCUGGCUCACUGAGUGAUCCCAAACCAGCCCAGAAGCCGGGUCACUGCAUCCACGAAGAAAGAGUGCCUGUUAGCACCAUGUAGGCAGGUCCUGUUUCAGUCUGGCGGCCACAUUCUCCAAAUUCGUUGUCAGCAGACAGACCGCGGAAAAGCGUCUUCCUAGAAUUUCUGCUUCAGGAUGGUCCACAGCUGAGUGAAGUAAGUCAGACAGAGACACAUAUAGGGUAUCACUUGUACGUGGGAUCUGAAAGAAAUUUUUUUUCAAAUGCUGUAAGUUCUAUUUACAAACCAAAAAUGGACUCAGGGACAUAGCAAACAAACUAUGGUUAUUAAAGGGGAAAGGAGGCAGGACGGAUAAGUCAGGAGUCUGGGAUGGGCAGAUACACAUGACUGUAUGUAAAAUAGAUAAACAGGAAGGUCCUACUGUACGGCACAGGGAACUAUAUCUUGUAACAGCCUAAAUGGAAAAAAUAUGAAAAGACAAUAUAUAUGUCUAUGCGGAAAAAAAAAUAUGUUCCUUCUUCUGCCUGAGGCUCCAGGUAUGUCAAAUUCCAGAGACGUUCCGCACCCAUGGGACCACACGGGUGUGGCCUCACCUGUGCGUCAGACAGUCAGGCGUUUUGCUAGUAAAGACUCCCUCCCUCGGGCUGCAGCCUGGAAGUGGAGGUCACGGA